rnacentral:rRNA from 1 species
UACGGAGGGAGCUAGCGUUGUUCGGAAUUACUGGGCGUAAAGCGCACGUAGGCGGCUUUGCAAGUUAGAGGUGAAAGCCCGGGGCUCAACUCCGGAAUUGCCUCUAAAACUGCAUCGCUAGAGUUGUGGAGAGGUAAGUGGAAUUCCGAGUGUAGAGGUGAAAUUCGUAGAUAUUCGGAAGAACACCAGUGGCGAAGGCGACUUACUGGACACAUACUGACGCUGAGGUGCGAAAGCGUGGGGAGCAAACAGGG